GACGGGUGAGUAAUGUCUGGGAAACUGCCUGAUGGAGGGGGAUAACUACUGGAAACGGUAGCUAAUACCGCAUAAUGUCGCAAGACCAAAGAGGGGGACCUUCGGGCCUCUUGCCAUCGGAUGUGCCCAGAUGGGAUUAGCUAGUAGGUGGGGUAACGGCUCACCUAGGCGACGAUCCCUAGCUGGUCUGAGAGGAUGACCAGCCACACUGGAACUGAGACACGGUCCAGACUCCUACGGGAGGCAGCAUG
rnacentral:rRNA from 1 species